rnacentral:tRNA from 1 species
CCCCUGGUAGCUCAGACGGGAAAGUAUCUGCCUGUAAUGCAGGAGACCCAAGUUCGAUCCCUGGGUCAAGGAA